rnacentral:rRNA from 1 species
GACGAACGCUGGCGGCGUGCUUAACACAUGCAAGUCGAACGGAAAGGCCCCAGCUUGCUGGGGUACUCGAGUGGCGAACGGGUGAGUAACACGUGGGUGAUCUGCCCUGCACUCUGGGAUAAGCCUGGGAAACUGGGUCUAAUACCGGAUAGGACCGUGCUUUAGUGUGUGCGGUGGAAAGCUUUUCGGUGCAGGAUGAGCCCGCGGCCUAUCAGCUUGUGGUGGGGUAAUGGCCUACCAAGGCGGCGACGGGUAGCCGGCCUGAGAGGGUGUACGGCCACAUUGGGACUGAGACACGGCCCAGACUCCUACGGGAGGCAGCAGUGGGGAAUAUUGCACAAUGGGCGCAAGCCUGAUGCAGAGACGCCGCGUGGGGGAUGACGGCCUUCGGGUUGUAAACCCCUUUCGGCAGGGACGAAGCUUUUGUGACGGUACCUGCAUAAGAAGCACCGGCUAACUACGUG